rnacentral:rRNA from 1 species
AACGCUAGCUACAGGCUUAACACAUGCAAGUCGAGGGGCAGCAUGAACUUAGCUUGCUAAGUUUGAUGGCGACCGGCGCACGGGUGAGUAACGCGUAUCCAACCUUCCGUACACUCAGGAAUAGUCUUUCGAAAGAAAGAUUAAUACCUGAUGGUAUGAUGAGAUUGCAUGAAAUCAUCAUUAAAGAUUCAUCGGUGUACGAUGGGGAUGCGUUCCAUUAGAUAGUAGGCGGGGUAACGGCCCACCUAGUCGACGAUGGAUAGGGGUUCUGAGAGGAAGGUCCCCCACAUUGGAACUGAGACACGGUCCAAACUCCUACGGGAGGCAGCAGUGAGGAAUAUUGGUCAAUGGGCGCGAGCCUGAACCAGCCAAGUAGCGUGAAGGAUGAAGGUCCUACGGAUUGUAAACUUCUUUUAUAAGGGAAUAAAGUCACCUACGUGUAGGUGUUUGUAUGUACCUUAUGAAUAAGCAUCGGCUAACUCCGUGCCAGCAGCCGCGGUAAUACGGAGGAUGCGAGCGUUAUCCGGAUUUAUUGGGUUUAAAGGGAGCGUAGACGGGUCGUUAAGUCAGCUGUGAAAGUUUGAGGCUCAACCUUAAAAUUGCAGUUGAUACUGGCGUCCUUGAGUACGGUUGAGGCAGGCGGAAUUCGUGGUGUAGCGGUGAAAUGCUUAGAUAUCACGAAGAACUCCGAUUG